CUUUGAGAUCAGAAGGCAGAAUUAUUAUGAAGCACAUGACAAGAAUGAACGUAACAUGAUGCUGGACAUUCUUAGAAGGGACCUCGAAGUACUUACUCAUUCCCAAGCAGAUCUUUACAGGGGUCUUGUACACCUUUUCCAAUUGAACAAUUUCAGUAUUGGAAGUGAAGCUUCUUAGAAUGGUAUGAGCAA